CAGCGGCUGACGCAGCCAGAGAGCAUUUGAGCCUCCAUGGACUUUUCUGUAUUUUGUCCAUAGGAAAUAAGAAGCAACGUGAGAGGAGGGGAUUUGCCUUGCAGGACCACAGAGGAGUGAGAAGGUAACCUCCUGGCUGCCCUCCAGAGCCCAGAGCGUGAAGAACCAGGACAGGGUGGUGCCUGAGGGUCCCAGCCUCCGCCCCUUCUGCCUCCCGUUCACUUGGGACCAGGACGAAGGCAAUCGGCCCAUGGACAGCACUGGAAGUGUGGAGUAAUGCUGGCUGUCCCCACUACGGAGCCCCAGGGACACCUGCGGCCCAGGGAGAAGAUGUGGGGGGCUCUCAGCCAAGCGGGCUCCAGAGACCCCAGGAGCCCACAGGAGCGAGGACAUCGCCCCAUGAUGGGGCCUCGCACUCCUGGCCCAGGGCUCACUCGCACACUCACUUUGCACCCGCUGCCGUUCAUGUGGGUCACACAGCACAAAGACGAAGUUUAGCCUGGAAAAUACUACUACUACACAUCUGUGUUUGAAAGCUGCAGGGCCAGGGACUCCCUCUCCGGCACAACCGGAGGCAGAGGGAGCCCCGCAGAGCCACACAACUCCCGGACAUCACUGCACCUGGACCAUCUGUGCUGCUCGGAGUCACCUGCCUAUGACAGUCACACAACAGGGGCUGAGAGCUUCCCACGGGGCGGGGCAGGAAUAUCCAGAGGAAGUAAGCAUCUUAGCCUAUUUUCUACACCAGUGUAUGGCCAGAAAUUCCCAUUUUGAAUGGAUUCGUGCUCUAAAAGUCUCCGGGGAUAACAUAAAAGUUGUAGAUUGUUUAUUCUUCAGCCUGCUACCCUCCCCAGAGCUGGACUAAACGGGUCGGCCCCCGGGAGCCCCAGUCUUCUCCCGAGAGAGGGCAGCGCGCACCACCACCCCAUCUAAGGCACCAGCCACAAGCUGCCCCAGGUCUGCAGGCCCAGCCUGGCCGCCUCUGCUAAUCUCAGAAGAGGGCAGCCCCCAAAAUAGCCACGCAGCUUUUUUAGUGUGUUUUGUCUCAUGAAAUUAGUCAGCCACGUGCCUAUGUAGGUCACACCAUACGAUGACAACUCGCAGGAGGGAAACUGUCACUUUUCAUAAUUCAGAGGCUUGAGUGAUUGCAAGGCACCACCGAACGAUGAAUAUUCCCAGCCAUUAUGGAAGCUGAUGGCGCUCGACAGCUGCACUGGAAAUGCCAGAGCCCAGGAGCCAUUUGUCACCACUGGCAUUUGGAUUGUCAGAGUCUGGGAGCUCUGUCGGACCUUAACAUUUUGCUUCUGAUUAGAAACAAUAAAAUGCAGAGUGCCUCACCACAGGAUGUGUAUCUCCUGCCUUUUUAAAGCCCCA
rnacentral:lncRNA from 1 species